UAGCGGAAGCAAUACAAUUAGGUGUAUACAAACAGGCGUAUGAGACCUGUAACGAGCAACAGCGCGAAGCCGCGAACUCGUUCUGAAUAUUUUAAAGGCGUAACAGCUGAUGAAAAAACUACGGAGCCCGCCUGGUCACCCUUUGAAGAAAAGAAAACAAGACUCGCAAUCCGUACUCACGGAUUUGUAAUUCGUCCCCUCAGUUUAUAAACCGUACUCACGGAUUUGUAGCCCCUCCCUCAUUUCAGACAUCUGUAAUCCACAAGCACGACAACAGAACAAGAUUCCGGGUGUUUAAAGCUGGCCUCCAUCAACCUUGACAUCAGAUUAUUCCUGGGAUAGGAUGGACAGAUUUAGUCUAAUUCAGUAUUACUUUGACCUGGGUCUACAUUAUAAAGAAAUCCUUAAAUGUUUAAGUGUUAAACAUGGAAUUAGUAUCAGCAUGAAGACACUUAAAAAAAUCCUAAAUAGAAAUGGACUAUUUCGAAGAAAACAUUUUGACAACUUAUUUAAUGUUAUUCAGUUUGUAAGGGAGGAGCUCCAAGGCUCAGGACCAUUGCAUGGAUAUAGAUGGAUGUAUAGUAAAUGCAGGGAAAGAGGAUUUCAUGUGCGCAAAGAAGACAUCCGCGCCAUUCUGUCAACUCUUGAUCCACUGGGCACAGAAAUGCGAAGAAAAAGAAGACUGCACAGGAGAGUGUACUUUUCAAAAGGCCCCAAUUUUGUGUGGCAUGUUGACACUUACAACAAAUUGAAGCCAUUUGACAUAUGUAUCAAUGGGGCUAUUGAUGGAUUUUCAAGGAAAAUACUAUGGCUGAAUGCAUAUUGCACAAGCAGUGACCCUAAAGUCAUAGGAGGUUACUUCCUUGAAACAGUAAGAGCUUUUGGUGGCUCGCCUCAAAUCCUGAGAGUAGACAUGGGAACAGAAAAUAGUGUUACUAGGGACGUUCAAAGGUACUUGUGACGUGGUGAUGCCGAUCAACUUGCUGGAGAAAGAAGCUUCAUCUAUGGCAAAAGUACAGCCAACCAAAGAAUUGAGAGCUGGUGGGGUAUUCUUAGAAAAGAAUGUGUGGAUUUAUGGCUUGAAUAUUUUCACCACAUUAAAGAUGAAGGCUACUUCGAUGGCAGCUUUCUGGACAAGAACCUUGUGUUAUUCUGUUUCCUGGGUUUGAUCCAGGAAGAGCUGGAUUUGACCAAAGACACGUGGAAUAGCCACCUGAUUCGUCCAUUAAGAAAUAGCCUUGUACCCCAUGGUCGGCCGGAUGUCAUGUACACCCUUCCUGAAUUAUAUGAGACAGAAGACUACAUAAGCCAAGUGCCAGUGGAAGACUGUGACACCUGUGAUCAAUGUAUCCAUCGGUCUGACAUCCCUUGUGAUGAGGACAUUUUCACCCAGUGUUCACACAUCAUGGCACAACACCAGCUUCGUAUUCCCAAGGAAAGGUUUACAGCACUUAAUCUGUAUCUUGCACUAAGACAACAGCUUACUACAGUGUUAAAUAUUGUGAGAUAAAGACAUGUUAAGCCAUUAGCACUAAAAAGUUGUUAUGGACAGUUUAACAGACAGUUCUUUCAUUAAAUUAUUAUUAUUAGAGUUCCAUUCAUUUCACAGAUGUAGAUAUGUCUUAAAUGUUAUUGAUAAAGUCUUGUAUACUUCAUAUGCAUAGUUUAAUAAAAGGAGACAGCUUUCUUUUUGA